GGACUAAAGUUGCAAAUACCCCCAGGAAAAAAACACGUGGAUCCUAGAGGUGGUUCGGGUCGAACCUCGGGUUGCAUCAAAACGACGUCAUUUUGGGGCUUCUGAGACCUACCCCAAACGACGCCGUAUAAUGUCCCUAUCUAUGCCAAAUAAAAUCCAAAAAAUUCAUUUUUGAACCAGGAUUAAAAAAAAUAAAAUUUGACACCUUUUUUUCUCUCUGCCUUCCCAUGUCCAGCCCCGAGGUUUGGAGAGUUCUUGCGGCGGCCACGAAUCAUCGACAACGAGAACCGCCGUCUCUAGUGGCCAGAAAACAUGGGCCAACUCCCAUUUUUGCCAUUUUGACCCCCAAAACCCCGAUCUGGGGUUAAUAUCACCUAAAGCCCCAUGAAAACAAAAGAAAAAAAAACCUUUCGAUUUCUCUGUAUUUUGGUGGGUUCCCUGCACCUUCCUCUCCGACGUGGUCCUCAGGCGAAACGAAGACGAUUCGGAGGCAUUACGCUGGAAAGAACUGUCUUUCAUCGGGGACGGUGUCCUUGUACACUCUCGAAGGUGGAAUACGAAGCGACGUUCAAGUAAAAAAAAUUAUAUUUACUUUAUGUUUUCUUAAAAAAUAGUAGAUAAAAAAAGAGUCACCUUUGAAGUUUUUUUUUGUAUUAUGUUUUGAUUGCUUGUUCGUGUGUAUAUUUCUCUCCGUGAAAAAAUACAUGCUGUUGUGAUGGCUUUUAUAGCCGAUUAUACACGGUUAUUUUUCAUUGUUUUUCUACUAUUUCUGUCUUUGUGUUUCCUUUUUGCAGGUGGCGGUGGAGUCAACAGUGGGGAAAGGCGCUCCCUUGCUGUUUUGGUGAAAUGGUGGCAAGCCUCGAGCGGCGUUCGUGUUGACAUGGUGAAGGCGGCAGUGCGCAGAAACCUUAAGGGGGUGCAGGUCCAAACCCGACGGAGUUGGGGCGCACCUGCACGAUGUGAACGACACGAUAUGUUCGGAUCAGUCAGGCCCAAAUGGGCUUAUAAAUAUUUUAAGCCGAACACGAAUUUAUUUUCCUCAGCAGACAUAAUCUGCUUAUAUAUGGACAGUAUCUGAUUUGAUAUAAUUUUUAAAUCAAAUUGAUUUUUUUUUACUCCUUAAUGGCAGAUUUUAUGAUUAUUUCCAAAUUUUCACUAUCCUAAAUGCCUAUAAAAGGCUGUGUAUUCUGUAGGAUUAUACACACAUUCUAAUAAUUUCUUCUACCGAAA